rnacentral:rRNA from 1 species
GACGAACGCUGGCGGCGUGCCUAAUACAUGCAAGUCGAACGCUUCUUUCCUCCCGAGUGCUUGCACUCAAUUGGAAAGAGGAGUGGCGGACGGGUGAGUAACACGUGGGUAACCUACCCAUCAGAGGGGGAUAACACUUGGAAACAGGUGCUAAUACCGCAUAACAGUUUAUGCCGCAUGGCAUAAGAGUGAAGGGCGCUUUCGGGUGUCGCUGAUGGAUGGACCCGCGGUGCAUUAGCUAGUUGGUGAGGUAACGGCUCACCAAGGCCACGAUGCAUAGCCGACCUGGGAGGGUGAUCGGCCACACUGGGACUGAGACACGGCCCAGACUCCUACGGGAGGCAGCAGUAGGGAAUCUUCGGCAAUGGACGAAAGUCUGACCGAGCAACGCCGCGUGAGUGAAGAAGGUUUUCGGAUCGUAAAACUCUGUUGUUAGAGAAGAACAAGGACGUUAGUAACUGAACGUCCCCUGACGGUAUCUAACCAGAAAGCCACGGCUAACUACGUG